AGCGAACGCUGGCGGCAGGCCUAACACAUGCAAGUCGAACGAACUCUUCGGAGUUAGUGGCGGACGGGUGAGUAACACGUGGGAGCGUGCCUUUUGGUUCGGAAUAACUCAGGGAAACUUGUGCUAAUACCGAAUGUGCCCUUCGGGGGAAAGAUUUAUCGCCAUUAGAGCGGCCCGCGUCUGAUUAGCUAGUUGGUGAGGUAACGGCUCACCAAGGCGACGAUCAGUAGCUGGUCUGAGAGGAUGACCAGCCACACUGGGACUGAGACACGGCCCAGACUCCUACGGGAAGCAGCAGUGGGGAAUCUUGCGCAAUGGGCGAAGGCCUGACGCAGCCAUGCCGCGUGAAUGAUGAAGGUCUUAGGAUUGUAAAAUUCUUUCACCGGGGACGAUAAUGACGGUACCCGGAGAAGAAGCCCCGGCUAACUUCGUG
rnacentral:rRNA from 1 species